rnacentral:rRNA from 1 species
UACAGAGGUCCCGAGCGUUGUUCGGAUUCACUGGGCGUAAAGGGUGCGUAGGUGUUGAGGUAAGUCGGAUGUGAAAUCUCCGAGCUCAACUCGGAAAUGGCAUUGGAAACUACCUUGCUCGAGGGUUGGAGGGGGGACUGGAAUACUUGGUGUAGCAGUGAAAUGCGUAGAUAUCAAGUGGAACACCAGUGGCGAAGGCGAGUCCCUGGACAACUCCUGACACUGAGGCACGAAAGCUAGGGGAGCAAACAGG